rnacentral:lncRNA from 1 species
UUUCUUACUCUAGAUCCUUAUUUCCACUUAAGCUCUUACUCUAGACACCUAUUUUGAAGCAUUGCAGUGAAGAAUAUAUGCAUGAAGAUUACUCACCUUUCUCCUUGUUUCCCUUUACUUACCAUGGCUAGGAUUUGUUUUCCUCAAGAGGGACCAUGCACAUUAUAUGUUAAGACUUUUUUUAGCUUUUGGUGUGACUUGCCCUUACCUUGAAGUACUUUAUUCAGGCUUUUGCACUUUAGAUCUUGCUUGGAAAGGUCACCAACCUAUUUUUGAUGUACUUUUAGAUAUUUCAGUUGGUCACCUAUCCAAGUGGCUACUAGCCUUGUUCAUAGUCUUUUGACCAUUGGAACAGUUUUCUCUUUUCUCUUUUCUCUCUUUUUUUUUUUUUGUGCUUUUGAGGGCUUUGCCUUUGCUGAAUUUUCUUUCUCUCAAUGAUUUGGGCAAAUCAACACCUAUUGCUAAAGCAAG